AGGGUCCCGCCCCGUACUUGAAGCCUGGGACGAGCCGGGCCUGCGCUCUGAUAGGACCCAGCCCAAUCUCACUCGGGCGUCCUCUGCCGGAGGCUGGGUUCCAGGCUGCGGGGCUGGGAGGGGCUUCCCGGACGCCAGAGAAAUGGCCCCAGCCCUGCCGGACAGCGGUUGACUGCUUUCAGCAGGUGGAGCCCAGCGCCCGGGCCAGGGAUACAGCGGGAGACUCCGGGCAGGCAGCCCUCCGCCUACGCAGGCACACAACCCUGGGACUGACGUAGUAACUGAUGCCUCAAACUCAAUCUUGGUCCAGUUUGUGCAAGACUCGGCGCCCUGUUUACCUGCCUCUUCUAGCCCCAGCUCUGUCUUGCCAGCCGCUCCUUCCCCUUAACAGUGCGACUCUUUUUGCAACCCUCAAGCAAUAAUUUAUACCAUUGCUUUUUAAAGGAAUCUUGUUCACCCUGUGUCUUGGCAAGAGAGUAGUGACCACACAGAUAUCUGCUUAAUCUCUUUUUCUAUACACUGAGACUGAAGUUUGCCCAGCGAAGAUAAUGCUUCAAGCACUCUGCAGCAUCCCUGGCUUCCCUACCCGUCUACAAUUCUUCAUGAUGUCCAAGAGUGAUAUGGAAGAUACUGGCUAGUGAGGAAGAUGUUUCAGGCACAUGAAGUACAUUGAUAACAGCCCCCAUAUACCUGAUAGCAUCUUAAGAACAAACCUCAGCAGACACUGGUGCCAACAGCCCCUUCCUUCGGUGAUUUGUGGAAUAACACCUAUUGUUCACCUGACACUCACCUUUGAUUGGACCCUACCCUGGAUUCGUGAAGGAACCCAUGCCCUGGACCCCUUUCCAACAUAAAGCCCUAAUCCCAAGCAGUGGAGAAACUCACUUCUUUUCUGAGCCUCCCAGACACUCCAUCUGGGGUAUUCUAUCUGUUCUGUGCUAUCACUUAGGUUAUUCAUUAAACUCUGCUCUCACUU